rnacentral:rRNA from 1 species
AGAGUUUGAUCCUGGCUCAGGACGAACGCUGGCGGCGUGCUUAACACAUGCAAGUCCAACGGAAAGAGAUGAAAGAGCUUGCUCUUUUAUUAAUUUCAGUGGCAAACGGGUGAGUAACACGUAAACAACCUGCCUUAAGGAUGGGGAUAACAGACGGAAACGACUGCUAAUACCGAAUACGUUCUAAGCAUCGCAUGAUGCAUAGAAGAAAGGGUGGCCUCUACAAGAAAGCUAUCGCCUUAAGAGGGGUUUGCGACUGAUUAGGUAGUUGGUGAGGUAACGGCUCACCAAGCCGACGAUCAGUAGCCGGUCUGAGAGGAUGAACGGCCACACUGGAACUGAGGACACGGUCCAGACUCCUACGGGAGGCAGCAGUGGGGAAUCUUCCGCAAUGGACGAAAGUCUGACGGAGCAACGCCGCGUGAACGAAGAAGGUCUUCGGAUUGUAAAGUUCUGUGAUUCGGGACGAAAGGGUUUGUGGUGAAUAAUCAUAGACAUUGACGGUACCGAAAAAGCAAGCCACGGCUAACUACGUGCCAGCAGCCGCGGUAAUACGUAGGUGGCAAGCGUUGUCCGGAAUUAUUGGGCGUAAAGCGCGCGCAGGCGGUUUCUUAAGUCCAUCUUAAAAGCGUGGGGCUCAACCCCAUGAGGGGAUGGAAACUGGGAAGCUGGAGUAUCGGAGAGGAAAGUGGAAUUCCUAGUGUAGCGGUGAAAUGCGUAGAGAUUAGGAAGAACACCGGUGGCGAACGCGACUUUCUAGACGAAAACUGACGCUGAGGCGCGAAAGCGUGGGGAGCAAACAGGAUUAGAUACCCUGCUAGUCCACGCCGUAAACGAUGGAAUACUAAGUGUAGGAGGUAUCGACCCCUCCUGUGCCGGAGUUAACGCAAUAAGUAUCCCGCCUGGGAAGUACGAUCGCAAGAUUAAAACUCAAAGGAAUUGACGGGGGCCCGCACAAGCGGUGGAGAUGGUGGCUUUAAUUCGACCCCACGCGCGAAGAACCUUAACCAAGCCUUGACAUUGAUCGCAAUCCAUAGAAAUAUGGAGUUCUUCUUCGGAAGACGAGAAAACAGGUGGUGCACGGCUGUCGUCAGCUCGUGUCGUGAGAUGUUGGGUUAAGUCCCGCAACGAGCGCAACC